GUAACUGUGACGUCUGUAUCGGUCAGCUUAUAACUCGAUGUCGGUCAAGAUCAACGCCAUUUGACACCACGUCGCGACGGUCAGUGCGCGUUUUUGUCCUUUCCGCGUGCGAACGCGCGUCUUACAGCGUUUUUUACACGCCGCGCAUCGCGUAGUUUAACUUUUAACUUGAAGAAAUCAACACGCACGCAUGAAAUGGCUUAUGUGAUCAAAUUGUUGUGUGUUUGUUUGUGUGUUAGUGCGGUCACGUGUCAGUUCGGUUUCUUCCCUCAAAGGGAAGAUCGCCGGUAUUCAACCCCCUUCCAAUAUGGACUCAACCUGCUCAACCCCAGAAGGAUCACAAAUAGACUCACAGGACUUCUCCAUGUGAUGCCCGAGAACGAAAAUACCAACCCUGCAUACGUAUACCCAUUCCGAAGACCUGGGAUCUCCACUGAGAACCAAAACACAAACAGUUAUCCAUACCAGAAUGGCCAAAACUACAACCAAGGAAACUAUGGAUACCAAAACCAGUACCCAGGCUAUGGGUACAAUAACCAAGGGUAUAACCCAAAUUAUGGAUACAACCAAAAUGGUGGAAAUCCUGUAGUAUUCCCCACAUCUCCUCCAGAUGGCACUGCUGUUAAUUUUGUAAAUAAUAAUGGCGAAUACACGGAAUCGAAUCCUGACAUUAACAAUUCUGGUACAGCAGUAAACUUUGUGAACAAUAAUGACGGGCAGUACACUGAAUCUAACCCUUCAAACUAUUAUCCUGGCCAAUUUAAAGAUCCUGCAGGCAAUGGCAAUUACCAGAACAAUAACGGAGAUAAUGAGCAAGAAGGAAAAGACAACGUGGAUAUAAACUUGCCCACAGGAGGGGCGGAGAGUAAUACACCAAAUGCAUCACCGGCUGAAAUUCCUAAUAUUCCACCUCCAGGAAUUCCAAUUGCUUCACCAGCUGAAAUUCCCAAUGUUCCAUCUCCAGGAAUCCCAAGUUCCUCACCUGCUGAAAUUCCCACUAAUCCUCCAGCGGGGAUCCCAAAUAAUUCGCCUGCUGAAAUUCCUAAUGUUCCUCCACCUGGAAUCCCGAAUUCGCCAGCUGAGAUUCCAAGCGUGCCACCUGCUGGAAUCCCAAAUAAACCACCUGCUGAAAUUCCAAAUUUACCGCCAGCUGGAAUCCCGAAUGCCCUCUCAACGAAAGCCCCGGCAUCAUACACAGAACUGCCAGUUCUGACACCAGUUCCCGAUACGGAGAAACGUAAUAACUUCAACUUUGGAUCGGCGGGAUUAUUCAAGGAGUCCUGCGAAACGGUAGACCAGCAGAUCGGCAGCUGCAUCUCAAUCCUGCAGUGCGCGCCGUACCUACAGCUGCUCAAGGAGUCCAGGACCAACCCUCAGGCUGUGCAGGUGCUGAGGAAGUCCCAAUGCGGGUUCGAAGGCAAUUAUCCUAAGGUAUGCUGCCCCAGGCCUGGGAUCCCAGACGCGCCGCCCACGGUUCCACCAACCACCACCACCACCACCACCACAGUAGCUCCUCCAGUCUCCAACGAACCCUCCAACGUCAACCCUGAGGACCUACUGGGGUCCUUCCCCGAGCCCCCCGUGUGUGGGUCCAGCAAUGCCACCUUCAGCCGAGUGGUGGGAGGAAUCCCUGCUAAGCUUGGCGACUUCCCCUGGAUGGCGCUCCUGGGCUACAAGCGAGGAGUAAACACGCGGUGGCUGUGUGGCGGCUCGCUCAUCAGCUCGAAGCACGUCCUGACUGCCGCCCACUGCAUCCAUGGACACGAAAUUGAUCUGUACCUAGUAAGGCUAGGAGAGCUGGACAUCGAGAGGGAAGACGACGGAGCGACUCCAGUGGACGUGCUCCUGAAGUACAAGAUCAAGCACGAGGACUACAACCCUCAGGCCUUCACCAAUGACAUAGGGAUCUUGGUCAUGGACAGAGAUGUUGGCUUCACUGAUCUGAUCAAGCCCAUCUGCAUCCCCAAAGACAGCGAGCUGAGAGCGAGAAGUUUUGAGAACUACACCCCCAUCAUCGCCGGUUGGGGAGACACUGAGUUCCGUGGUCCAUCGGCGUCCCACCUCCAAGUAUUACAACUGCCGGUGGUCAGCAACGACUUCUGUGCGCAGGCCUACGUCAACUACAAGAACCAGCGCAUCGAUGAGAGGGUCCUAUGCGCCGGGUACAAGAAGGGAGGCAAGGACGCCUGCCAGGGGGACAGUGGGGGACCGCUGAUGCAGCCGAUUUGGAACAACCAAGACUACACGACGCACUUCUACCAGAUAGGCGUGGUGUCCUUCGGCCGCAAGUGCGCGGAGGCGGGCUUCCCUGGAGUCUACACGCGCGUCACACACUUCGUGCCCUGGCUCGAGCAGAAGAUCCUCGGCGCUUGAGGUCGCCGUGGCCUCGGCAGCGAUAUCGUGGUCUGGUCGUGAUGGGUCUGGUUUGGCUGGUUUCUGGUCGUGACUUGACCGUCUGGUCAUGACUUGACAAUCUAGUAAUGACUUGAUUUUCUGGUCGUGACUUGAAUGUCUAUAAUCUGGUCCGUGAGCACGUAGAAUUUUGUCCAAUGAC